AAUCAACGCUGGCGGGUGCCUAACACAUCCAAGUCGAACGCGAAAGCCCCGCAAGGGGUUAGUAGAGUGCAAACGGGUGAGUAACACGUGGGUGACCUGCCUUCGAGUGGGGGAUAACGUCCCGAAAGGGACGCUAAUACCGCAUAACAUCCUGCCUUUGAAGAGGUGGAGAUCAAAGCUGGGGACCGCAAGGCCUGGCGCUCAAAGAGGGGCCCGCGUCUGAUUAGCUAGUUGGUGAGGUAAUGGCUCACCAAGGCAACGAUCAGUAUCCGGCCUGAGAGGGCGGACGGACACACUGGGACCGAGACACGGCCCAGACUCCUACGGGAGGCAGCAGUGGGGAAUUGUUCGCAAUGGGCGCAAGCCUGACGACGCAACGCCGCGUGGAGGAUGAAGACCUUCGGGUCGUAAACUCCUUUCGAUCGAGACGAAUGGCCCUUGGGUUAACAGCCCAGGGGUAUGACGGUACCGAGAGAAGAAGCCC
rnacentral:rRNA from 1 species